rnacentral:lncRNA from 1 species
GUUUAUUUAUUGAACAUAGAGGUUUAAUACAUAAUUUAAAAUCAUUUAAAUGAACAUAGAAGUUUUUAAACAUCAGUUUAUUUGUAUAAGAAGCUGUAUGUUAGUGUUCUUCAGAGAAAAAAAAAAACAAAAGAGGAGAUAGCUCCCAACACACACACACACACACACACACACACACACACACACACACCCCCCAUCAAUUAUGGGAAUGGACUAAUGUGCUAAUAGAGGGUUAGCAGUCUCAUGAUCUGCCUUCUGCAAACUGGAGAAACAGGAAAGCAGGCAGUGAAAUUCAGGCCAAGUCCAAAGACCUGAGAACCAGAAACUCUGAUACCUGAAGUCAGGAGAAGAUAGAUGCCCCAGCUCAAAAAAAGAGAAUUCAUUCUUUCUCUGCCUUUUUGUUCUAUUCUGACCCUCAAUGGAUAGGACGAUGCCUGCCCAUGUUAGUGAUUUUCUUACUUAGUCCACUGACUCAAAUGCUAAUCUUUUCCAGCAACAUCCUCAAAGACACACCCAGAAAUAAUGUUUUACCAGUUAUAUGGACUUCCCUUACCCUAGAGAAGCUGACACAUAAAAUUAACCAUCACAGACUGUGAAGGGUGGCAGAAUAUGUCACCCCAAAAUAUGCUAGUUUGGUGUAAAGAUUAUUUUGAGCUAAAGGCCCUUGAAAAACAGCAAAUGCAAGAAGGGCAUUCCAAUCUCCUCUUUUCUUCCUGCAAACAGGAGACAAAAACUCCCAUGUGAAAGAUGCGCUCCCUGUACCAGAAGAGAAGAAACAUUCUUGUCACCGGAGAUGAGGAGUUGAGACUAAAAAAAAACCUGUACAAACAGACCUUGUUAAAAUAACUCUUAUCUUCCUUGAGCCUCCCCACACAUUUUAGUUACUUUUCCACAAUUGUCACUCUUUAUUCAAUCUGCUAUAUAAGCAUUUGGGUUUUUACCACUUCUUAGGGUCUUUAUUUUCCUAUGGCAGCUCCCAUGUACAUGUAAAAAGUCUGUGUAUUUUUCUCCUGUUAAUAUAUUUUAUGCCAAUUUAAUUCUCAGGCCCAACCAGAGGACCUAAGAGCAUGGAGGCAAAGUUUUGCUUGCUCUGUAACUGAGAUGUCAGGAUUAUCUGAUAAAGCCUCCUUGAUCAAGAAGGUAAUCCCAAGUUAGAAUGAAAUCUUUACAGAAAAGGGGGAUCCACAUUGCAAUUAAAUUGCUUGUAAUAGUUUCUGGUUACACCCUAGUGGUAAAAAGUACAGCUUCCUAUAAGUGGUGAUUAAAAAUAAAAGUCUAGAAUUAUCCACACUUCACUUGAUUACUAUUAGAGAGCCAAUAGGCUGUUUUCCUUUCAUUAAGGGAGGUAAUGUUCCUAAGGAAUUAAUGAGAUUUUUCAUCAGUUCUCAUGGUAUGUAUAAAGUUCCUAGAAACAACUCAUCAAAUGGUCAUUUGUACCCACUCUAGAACACGCAUACCAGAGACCUACCAGUGAUUGUCUCCUCCUUUCCACUUUGCCCUGAGUAAACAAAAGAGCAAGGCCCAUUUUAACCUAAAAAGGAUUCACAUUUUCAACUAACUUUAAAAAUUAAGAUUCUUUUUAUUUUUUUAAAUUUAUUUUUAUUUUUUGAGAGAGUCUCACUCUGUGACCCAGGCUGGACUGCAGUGGCGCGAUCUUGGCUCACUACAAUCUCCAACUCCGGGAUUCAAGAGAUUCGUGUGCCUCAUCUUCCCUAGUGGCUGGGAUUACAGGCACCUGCCACCACUCCCGGUUAAUUUUUGUAUUUUUAGUAGAGACGGGGUUUCAUCAUGUUAGCCAGGCUGGUCUUGGACUCCUGACCUCAAGUGAUCCACCCACCUCGGCCUCCCAAAGUGCUGGGAUUACAGGUGUGAGCCACUGCGCCUGGCCGAUUCUUCUUACUAAUCAGAAAGGGUUCUCCCUUUUGAAAAAGAUAUAACAAUUUUUAACAUUUCAUGUUAGAAACAGUGUGAGGUUGUCUUGUACAUGGUACAUAAACUCAGAUGACAGGCAGAACCCUCAACUUGUUCCUGAAGUCUCUCAAGAGCCUAGUGACAUCUCAGCCACCUGCACUAUGCAAAUAGACCCAAGGUGUCAGGAGGAUGCUGCAAGGACCAGUUCCAGCACAUUCCAUUCCAUUUGCUCAAACUCAUUACCUGACAACUUCAAAGAUUGUCCCAGCUUCUGUCCUGAGUGGGACUUUUGCAUUAACAAGUGAGCCUGAUGGAGGCUUAAUGUUUCUUAGAAACAGUCUUCAAGUACUGACAGAAGAUGGCCAUCUGUUCUUCUGAUUGCUGAGCCAGAACAAAGGGAAAAGAAUAAAAUGCAGUACAGAGGGUUUAGAUUAGAUCUGAGGAAGGAUGUCUGCACAAAGUGAGUUAUUAUACAAUAAAAUAAGUUUCAGGAGAAAAAUAGUUUUAAACUCUUUCAAUAUGGGACUCUUCAGAACUAAUUCAGAUUUGUAUCCAUAAAGGAUGUUUAAGAUAAAAUUUUCUUUCUGAAGCCAGGAAAGCCAACUUUGUUGCUUUAUUCCUGGAAGUGUUAUCGAUUUGAUAUAGUGAAUGAAGAUAUUCAAAAGACCUUAAGCAAUUAGAAAUCCAGGGUGAUAUUUGCAUAUUCGAUCCCACCUACAUGACUACCUGUGACCAGGUACUUAAGUUACAUUACAUAACAGAAAUCCACACAUAUAUAUUAAUGAUAGAAUGACACAUGUGAUAUAUGCAAGCCUGUCACUAUAUGCUAUAGCAGCAUGGAGACUCCAAAAAAUCAACCUGAGUAUAUUAAGCUGCUUUGUUCAAUUUACUUGUAUCAGAAGUCCUCUAUUGUAUGGCAUAGAGUUGCCUGACUGUGGGAUUUUAAGUGGCCUGCAAGGAAAGUGCCAAGAGAGGACACAAAAUAAUAGAGAAGAUUGCCAGUGGUUUACUUUUUACUUUUCCAAUGUUCUCCUUACAGGAUUCUUUCCUUCUUUAAGCCCUCUCUUUUUUUUUUAAUAUCUAAAUCUCCUACCCCCCUGAGGUGCCCAUGAUCCAAAGUUUGUCUUCUUCUAUAUUAAUUUCCUCAUUUACUCUACUCCCAAUCCAAACCAGUGCUCCAAUGAAUGAUUUCAGGUUUCUAAAGACCCCAAGAGCAAAGGUCUACUCAUUUUGGUUUCGGAGCUCUGGAAGUUUUGUUUUGUUUUAGUGUUAUGUUGUCUUUUCUAAAAGAAUUUUGGAAAGUUGAUAUUUGCAUAUUCCAUCCCACCUACAUGACUACCUGUGACUAGGUACUUAAGUUACAUUUGAAUGCAUUUUAAGUGACUGAAGGUCAAAUGAUGCCCAGCAUGCAUUCUGAAUGACAUUGAGUUAUCAAAAAGCUUGCAAUUGCAGAAACAUACUGACCAGAGAAAAACUUCCCUGACAGAGAGAAAAGGCCAGUCUUUGAAGUGCUCAUUGACUACAGACUAUCUUAAGAUAGUUCAUUAUCAGUGCACAUAAGGACAAAUAUAUUCUGGAGAAUUUCUUAUUUAGUUCUUGAUCAAUUGUAUUACUAUAUUUUAUAUUGCGUACAUAUUCUUAAAUUGGCCCAUGAAAAUAAUAGAACAGUAGUUUUAAAAAACUGUUAAAAAGGAGAAAUAGUUAUAAUGCUGAUGAAUUAAAUUAUAGCCCCUUAUGCUCUCAAAAGCAUAAAAAUUAAGUUGAUAGCAAGUGACACAGUAAACAAAGAGGUACAUUUGUCACUUUUAAAUAUAAUAGGAGAAAUAUAGUUUCAAUAAAAAUUCUGCCUGAUUUUAAAUGUUUCUCACUUGAAUUUUAUGUUUCUAUAGUUUUGUUUGAAAUUAAACGUUAGGUUUAAUUUUAUAGCUAUAUAAAAUGUAAACAUUGUGUUAUGUUUGUACAAUAUUUAAGAAACUUUAUAUUAAAUAUAAUCUGAGUCAACUAUGAAGAUCAAAGAGGUGUUUGGUUUUCCUUUAAAAGGUGGUGGUAUAUUAUCUCAGACUGAGAAAUGUUAGAACAGCCUAGUUCUAUGUGUGUUAAAAGGAAAGGGACUUGAGUACUUGAUUAAAAUAACCUAUACUAACUCUCCAAGUUACUAUCAUUUUAAAAGAAUCCCUGGUAAUCCAAACAAAUCUCCCCUUGGACUUUUUGCCUUCAUAGGCAUCCUAUGUGAAACCUAACUCAUGGCUGUCACCAAUUAGAAUUGACUUCCCCGUGCUUCAUCCCACAUGUAGUGAAAGAAUGGUGUUGAUAGGUCAUAUUCAUGAGUUUGAUGAUCCUGAGAGAGAGCUACACUGAAAAAAGUGUACAUAAGAACCACCAGGAUACUUGGGGGAGACACGCAAAUUUAAUUUGUUUGGGUUAAUUCUGAGACUGUAUUUUUCCCAAACACCUAAGGUAGUACUGAUUCAAGGAGGCCAGAGUCCACUCUUAGAGAAACAUGCCUUACCAUGCCUUCAUAGGAACAAGACAAUGGGUACUUUAGAUUUCAUGUGACUGUGUAUAAGUGACCAUAUAAGUGGAAUGGACCAAGAAUUACAAUCGGAAGAAUACUCGAAGCUACUUUGCUACUGAAUAUGAGUCAGUGGUCAUCAUUGUUUAGAGAGUUUUUUAAACUACAGAAUAAGUGUAGACAUAUCUGUCUAUUUUGCACCAAAGUUUUAAGCAUCUUCAUUUUUGGUACUAGAAGUUUCAUUAUCUAAGGAAUCAGGACAUUUGAUUCUUGAGGCUUAUUAAUGGAGAUCAUAUCCCAGCUACUCUACUUAUUAGUUGGGUGACUAUAGACUAGUCACUUAACUUCUUGGUGCCUCAGUUUAUUCACCUAUAAAAUAAGAAUGAAAAUAUGAGGAUAAUGAAGAAGUUAAAUGAAAUAAUGAGUGAAACUAGAAACAUGCCUAGCCACAUAAUAAGAACCCAGUAGAUAUUAGUUGCUGUUAUUAUCAUAUAAUAUCGUUUAUUAUUGCCAUUUUCAUGACUAUUAUAUAAAUAACAGAAAUCCACACAUAUAUAUUAAUGACUUCUCUCUCUAAGAUAUUGUGUUAGAAAAGAUAAUAAAACCCAAAAUGUGCUCUGAAAUACCUUACAAGCUAAUGGAAGAAUUUAGAUAUGUAUCUAAGUAAAAAGAAUAAAAUGUAGAGAAAGUGGAAAUUAAAUGUAAGAGAAAUGAAAUGCAGAAACAUUUCAGAGAAAUGACACAUUACUUGUGACCUAAGUAAAUGAAAGAGAACCAAGGAUGGCUUAUGGGGGAUGAAAUAUUUGGGCUGAAACUUGUAUGACUGAA